CACGUUAGUUAUCCAACCCUUUAAAACCACGUUAGUUAUCCAACCCUUUAAAACCACGUUAGUUAUCCAACCCUUUAAAACCAUCCUCAUCACCACUAACUCUGGAAGUACAAUAACAAACAUCAGGCUCUUCAUUCUAUUUUUAUUCAUAUGCUACGGGCCAGAGCUAUUAGAUUCCGGCUAUACAAUAUAAGCCUAUAUAUCUGUCACUCUCCUGUGUCAAAUAAACACUAGCAUUGUAAUUUUACAGUGUUGGAAAGCAACAACAACAAAAAACGUCUAAAAACUUGAAUCUACACAACGAUUGAUAAACAGAAUCAGUAAGUAAAACCUCCCCCAAAAAAACACCUUGAGAAAUUACAAAAAAAAAAGGAAAGUUACAAAUAUAAUUUGAUGACUGAGGACGAAAGAACGUUUGUAAACUAUUCUCAUUUAGCUUGUCAGAUGGUUUGUGUGGUUGGCUGUUAGCUCCUUAUACCAUUGUAUUUACAGGUUUGCGCACCAAAUGGCAGCCUAAUUCCCUUUAUAGCGCACUACUUUUAACCAGAGACCUAUGGGUCCUGGUCUAAAAGUAGUGCACUAUCUAGGGGGAUUAGGGUGCCAUUUGGGACGUAGAGCCUUAGUAUUCAUCACCUCCACUAUCCUCUGUCCCUCUGAACACUAUCAUUGCGGUGAUGUUAUGACCAGGGGAACGCAGUGUUUCACCGGAUGUUAACUGUUUCCAGAUCUUUCUAUUGUUUGUUUUUACAUUCCAUUCAUCAGAACAGAAAAGGAGUCCAGACAUUAAGACUAGCUAAAACCAGAGGCCCUUUUCCUCUCUCUUUCUCUUUCUUUCUCUCUUUCUCUCUUUCUUUCUUUCUCUCUUUCUUUCUUUCUUUCUUUCUCUCUCUUUCUCUUUCUUUCUCUCUUUCUCUCUUUCUUUCUUUCUUUCUCUCUCUUUCUCUUUCUUUCUCUCUUUCUCUCUUUCUCUCUUUCUCUCUUUCUUUCUUUCAGUCUUUCUUUCUCUCUUUCUUUCUUUCUCUCUGUCUCUUUCUUUCUUUCUCUCUUUCUUUCUUUCUCUCUUUCUUUCUCUCAGUCUUUCUUUCUCUCUCUCUUUCUUUCUCUCAGUCUUUCUUUCUCUCUGUCUCUUUCUUUCUCUCAGUCUUUCUUUCUCUCAGUCUUUCUUUCUCUCAGUCUU
ensembl:lncRNA